rnacentral:rRNA from 1 species
AAAAUGACUCUCGGCAACGGAUAUCUUGGCUCUUGCAUCGAUGAAGAACGUAGCGAAAUGCGAUACUUGGUGUGAAUUGCAGAAUCCCGUGAACCAUUGAGUCUUUGAACGCAAGUUGCGCCCGAAGCCAUUUGGCUUAGGGCACACCUGCCUGGGUGUCGUGA